rnacentral:misc_RNA from 1 species
GAUGAAGAACGCAGCGAAAUGCGAUAAGUAGUGUGAAUUGCAGAAUUCAGUGAAUCAUCGAAUCUUUGAACGCACAUUGCGCCCUUUGGUAUUCCUUAGGGCAUGCCUGUUCGAGCGUCAUUUGAAACCUCAAGCUCAGCUUGGUGUUGGGUGUCUGUCCCCGCCUCCGCGGGGACUCGCCUCAAAAUCAUUGGCGGCCGGUACGUUGGCUUCGAGCGCAGCAGAAACGCGAACUCGAGGCCCGGCGGAUCGGCGACCAGAAGUCUCUUCUUCACAGUUUGACAUCGGAUCAGGUAGGGAUACCCGCUGAACUUAAGCAUAUCAAUAAGCGGAGGA